GUCACUGUAGCACAAAUGGCAUUGGAUGAGUUAUGCAAACUUAGUUUAAUUCUCAGGAUUAGUGGUUUGAAAUCAUUACCCUAAGUAUGAGCAAUAGUAACCGUGAUGCUUGACUUUGCAAACAGCACUAAAAACUAAUUUAACACGCAAACAGAUCCUGGGAAGAGGGAGGAACGGAGACCUAAUGAGGAAGGAUUUACAACACCCCGCUGAGACAUAAAAACCCAGUUUGGGCUUUUAAAACCUCUUAUCUGUCCACAACUUUUAACUUGAGCUUCACACUUCAGUAUAGUCCUGGCGGGCCCCCGCGGAGGAGCUGAGGGUGCGAGAGGCUCUUUUACCCCUGCAGGGGGGCAGAAAAUGCAUUGGUGAUGAAGUGCUAGAGCGGUGCUUGUUGUUGGUUGAGACGGUAUGGGGCGAUGGACCAUCUGUUACAGGGAUCUGAUCCAGAGGAGAAACAGAGGAAGUCAGAGGGGAGUUGGCUUUCAUACAUCUUAGUGAAACAGAAACCACGC
ensembl:lncRNA